CUCCGUUGUGAGAAGGGGAAAAUCCUGCAACGCCGAAACCCCCUUCCGUUAUUGAGUGAAAGUCAAUAUUCGGUGCAUGUGCGCUGUCUUGGCACUCGCUGGAAUCGUGAGCUAGCGGAGGAAUUGUCAGACGACAACUCGAACAAUAAAUAUGGAAAAGUUGCAAAAGACUGCGAGGUAAGAUGGAACUCUGGCGAUGACCGCCUACACCAGUCUCGUGAGAGGAGCGUUCAGAGGCGAUGAAAGGGCAGCGCUGCAAGCAGACCUUGCUCGUCGUAGGGAUUUCAGUGGCCGUGUUCAUGUACUUGGUUUUGGCCGCGAAUUAUGCCCCCAUGAUCUUCAUGUCGUUUUCCAAAAAGGUCCAACCGCUGCAGUAUGCACAUCUACAUCCAAACAGUGAUGCAUCUUCACAUUACUAUCAGGAGAUAGAGAGUCAGAAACCACCUCCAAAAGCUGUUAUACUUUGGACCACCUGGAGGAGUGGGUCGACAUACCUCGGGGAACUACUGGCAAACGCUGUACAAGACACAUUUUACAGUACAGAGCCUUUGCAUUACUGGAGAGUGAA